rnacentral:rRNA from 1 species
GAUGAACGCUGGCGGCGUGCCUAAUACAUGCAAGUCGAGCGAACGGACAAGAAGCUUGCUUUUCUGAUGUUAGCGGCGGACGGGUGAGUAACACGUGGAUAACCUACCUAUAAGACUGGGAUAACUUCGGGAAACCGGAGCUAAUACCGGAUAAUAUUUUGAACCGCAUGGUUCAAAAGUGAAAGACGGUCUUCCUGUCACUUAUAGAUGGAUCCGCGCUGCAUUAGCUAGUUGGUAAGGUAACGGCUUACCAAGGCAACGAUGCAUAGCCGACCUGAGAGGGUGAUCGGCCACACUGGAACUGAGACACGGUCCAGACUCCUACGGGAGGCAGCAGUAGGGAAUCUUCCGCAAUGGGCGAAAGCCUGACGGAGCAACGCCGCGUGAGUGAUGAAGGUCUUCGGAUCGUAAAACUCUGUUAUUAGGGAAGAACAUAUGUGUAAGUAACUGUGCACAUCUUGACGGUACCUAAUCAGAAAGCCACGGCUAACUACGUG